rnacentral:antisense_RNA from 1 species
CAGGUUCCUCCUGGUCCCCGAGGCCCCGAUCGGGCGUUGCCUGCCCCGCGCGGGCGGCCGGGCAGAGGGACGAUGGUCAGUGGACGGACGGCGCCAGGGAGCAGUGCCCACGCGCGGCAGGGCGGUACCUUCAGGCCUCCAGGUGUCAUCGAACACCCUUGCGCUUGCUGUCACCCGCUGCCUGUCUGCAGGAUCCCGGAUUCCCUAUCAGGAGACCGAAAUUAGUCGGAAAAUAGGAAGCAGGUGCUUGCUUGGAUGGAGCCCUGACCCUGUGCUCACACUUGGAGGAGGAGGGCUCUGCAGGCCGCCUCCCGGAAUGGGAGGUUCCCAAGCCACUGCACUUCAGAGGGGCUGUAAUUAGAGUUGCACAUUCAUUCAGUUCCCAGUAAAGUAGAACGUGCUCCAGCCAGUGAGGAAAAGAUGUUUUUAAAAAUUAGAUUGGCCGAGUGCGGUGGCUCAUGCCUUUUACCUCAACACUUUGGGAGGUGGGAGGAUCACCUGUGGCCAGGAGUUCAAGACCAGCCUGGGCAACAGAGCUAGCCUGUCUCUAGGGAAGAAUAAAAAAAAUUUUGAGCCUU